UGGAGACUCAACCAAAAACUUUAACUAAUUCAGAUAUGUCUGAGGAAAUCAUUAUUAAAGACUUAAUAUUUACGUUGUUAUCAAAGAAUGUCGUUGAGGAUGUUGCUGAGCUAAGCGAAGAAUUA